rnacentral:tRNA from 1 species
GGGCGCUUAGCUCAGUUGGUAGAKCGUCUGCCUUACAAGCAGAAUGUCGGCGGUUCGACCCCGUCCGCGCCCCCCC